GGAGGUUAGUGAGCCUGUUUUGCUGGCUCAGCCAGGUGUAUUUCUCUCCACAGAUUCCUGCACAGGUGACAUUGUUCCCUGGCUGCAGUGAGAGGGGCUGGAGCUGAGACUGGGCCUCAUCAGCGUCUGCUACGGGAGAGAGGCUGGUGAGCCCAUCUUGUUAGCUCAGAUGUAUGCAUCUCCCAGCAGCUUCCUGCGCCGUUGGGAUAGUUAUCCAACUGUGGCAGGAGGAGCCAGGCCUGAUACUGGGCCCCUUUAGGAUCUGCUGUGGGACAGAGGAUGGUGAGCCCAUCAGGAAGACUCAGACUCUGGGGCUGCAAUAUAUGGGAAGCCUCCUAUCAGACUCUCUGCCUGGCCUGAGAUAUCCAGUUAACACCUGCAAUUCAGAAUACCCUCUCACCCAGCAAUAAAGCAUCCAGCCUUUGCAUCUGUAACAACCUCCUCUGUAAUUUGUGCAUUCUAUGAUGCUCCAAAUCAGUACAAUCUAUCCAUGACUUCAGACAGAUGAAAACAGUUCCUUCUAAAAACAGAGGCUGAUGUUUUAAAAGACAAUAAGAGAAAAUGUGAGCUCCCCAUGGCUGCGGUAUAAAGUGCUGGAAGAGAGGAGCAUCUCCAGAGCAUGGAAGACAAAGCAGCCUUAUGCUCACCUUUUCCACUUCAGUUUCCAUUUUCCUCCAAGGCAAAACUCCCACUUCUGGCAGUUUCUCACAGGAAGAGAGGCCUACUGAAAUCCUGGAGAAGCUGUGCUGCAAAGGCAUAUGUGAAAGCUGACCCAAUUUAUACAAGGCUGGGGGACUACACUGGACAUCGUUAUGUGCCCUUCAGCUUUCCUUUGAGGAAUGACUUGAUCCACUAAGUGUGGUGAGUACUGCUAGCAGAUAGCCUUGAUCUAUCAGCCUCUUCAG
rnacentral:lncRNA from 1 species